rnacentral:piRNA from 1 species
UACAAAGCAUUACAGGUAC